UCCCUGGUAGCUCAGAUGGUAAAGCGUCUGCCUGCAAUGCAGGAGACCCAGGUUCGAUCCCUGGGUGGGAAG
rnacentral:tRNA from 1 species